CCAAGUUACAUUAGACCCCAAAAUAUUUCGAGUUAAUAUAUAUACACAUAGACCCCUAAAUUGUUAAUUUUUUUUUAUUAAAUUGAUUUAAGUCCUCUAAAAUGUCAGGGUCAGCCCAAUAUAACCAGAUAACAUUCGAAGUUGACGUCUUUUACCUGCAUGCAGUUGCCAAUGUUAAUGAUGAAAGCAUCAGGGUUGGGUUUCACAGAGAACCAUUGUCCAUCUGAUCUACGGCUCACUUGUAACCCACCCACACUAUCUUGUGCCAAGACGGUUAUAACUCCUGCGUCUGCGUGGCGUCCAACGCCUAAUGCUAGCUCCGGGUUCGGGCAAGGAGGGUAAUGGUUAAACCGCAAAAAGCUUGUUUGGUCCUUGAAGUAACCUGUUAACCGAUCACCGGGUAGACCCAAGCUAAUGGAGAUAAGUUCCAAAAGCUUGAAAGCUAACUUCUCAACUUCUCUUGCAUAUUCUUGGCACACCUCUCUACCAAACAUGAUUAGUAUUAAUUAAACUUCAUAAUAAAUGGAUCCUAAUUAGGCCCAAUGGGCCUUAAUUAAAGCCUUGUUUUAAAGCGUGUUUUUAGAGAAUCACCUGAAGUCGGAAGGGUUUUGAGGCCACGGGUUAGUCAGCUUCCUGAGCUCGGUAUCUUCCGGCUCUGUAGUCGCCGGAACCGUCGUCGAGUCCUGCAGAAAGAAAUCGAAAAUCUCUUUCCAGUCUCUAACGUUUUUGGUAUGUUCUCCGUCGUGAUAACCCAUAGGGUUCACUUCAUCUCUUUUCACUCUUCUCUUCUCCUCCAACGUUAGACUGAAAAACUCGGCCACCGUCUUCUCCACCCUACGCAUUAAGUCCAACGACAAACCAUGGUUGAUCACCUGGAAAAAGCCCCAUCUCAUGCAUGCUUCUGCAAUCUCUGCCGCUAGCGCUGUCUUGUCGCAGUGUGGGUCUUGGAGAGAGGAGAGAUCGAUGGUCGGGAUCUCGUUGGAGAGAAUGUAGUCACCGGAGUUUGUGAGAUGAGUUUUGGGUCUGUGUUCUGGAGCUUGGAUAAAAGCUUCGUCGAGUACUCCCAUGGUGUUUUUUUGUCGGUGAUUCUUAUGUUUAUCUUUUAAGGCUUUGGAAGAUAUCUGAUGAUUCUUGUGGUGCAUGCGGUUGGGUUUGUUUUAUAGGAAGAUGUCACGUGUAACAAAACGCUUUUAUUGGUAUGAUGAAUGUAGACACGUUUCUGUGAACAAUUAACUUUUUUCACAUUUGGUUAAUUAGGAAUUACAGUCAUGCCAGUUGUUGAAAGAGGACCAAAAUAAGCCAAAGAUGUAUGUAGACGGAGGAUAUUCAUAAAGUUCAUGAGCGUUUAAUAUAGACUAUAGAUGCCCCUUCUUGAAAAAAAAAAUUAACCAUUUUUUAUUUUUGCAAACAACCAUUACAAAAUGAGAGGAGGAUUAGUUCACAAGAAAAUAGUUCUGAAUCUAGACGGAAUCUUGGAAGGGUGGAGGAUGUGAUAGUGCCGGUCCGGACUCUUUCGACGCCUAAAGCGGAAAAAAUGUAUGCCCUUUAACUAUAAUUAAAAAAUUACGAUAUUUAAACAUGUAAUCAAAAUGGUACCAUAUAUUACUAAAAUUUAAAGUUGUUUAAAAUAAUAAAAACAUAAUCGGUAUGUCAUCUUAUAUAUUAUUUAUUUACAGUUUCAAUUGAGUAAUUUUCAAUUCUAUUUUUCUGAUAGUAUUUCCUAUAAAUAAAAAAUGAAAUAUAUAAAAUCAAGAAUAACUUAUGAUAAAAUUCACUUUAACUUCAACUUCACUUUGUAGAAUUUUAUUGGGUUUGGUAGUCUCAUAGAAUCUUAGAACCCUAUAAUAAUUUAUUUGUUUGCUUGGAUUUUAAACGUUACUACAAAAAUUAAUUACAAAAACCUACAAAAAAAGAAGUAAGAAGCAAUAAUAAAAAUUUAAUACGAGAUGCAGCUAUACUACUAAAAUCAAUCGCAAUGAAACGUGGAAAUAUAUGCACAAUUUAUAGUUCAAGUUAUUUGUUAUAACAUUUUUUGUUAACAGAACAAAACUGGAAAGAAGAUGUCUUUUAAUAAAAAAGGAAAAGACUACUAAGGUGGACGCAUACUUCCGAACCUGUCAGCUGUAGGACGAUAGAAUAAGUUGAGAGGACACUAGACCAAAGUGAAUUUCUUCCAAAUUGGCGCCCCUAAUGUCAAAUAUUCUUGGCGCCUGAAGCCAAUGCCUUAUGGGCUUUAGCCCAGGGCCAGCUCUGGAUGUGAUAUACGCAAGUCAAAUCUUAUUGGAUACUUGGAUCUCGAUCCGAAGUCUUAGAGUAGCAUUAUCCCUGAAACUCACUUAAGGGUGAUUAAAAAAAAAAAAAAUUAAAAAGUGCACCAAUCGCGGACCGUCACCGACCGCCACAUGUCGGUGGGAUCCGCGAACAGUACAAGAAACCCACCACAAUCGGUCCUUAUUUCAUGACUUUAGAGAUUGGUUUUUAUGGUUUAGUGGGGCCCACACAUUGCUUUUUUGAAAGAAACCCCUUUUAGAAACUCCAAUAAUGCUGCUUUUACAGCAUGAUUAACCCAGGUUCUUAAGAUGAGGUUCUUAGCUUCAGAUAACAACCGUUUCUUACCUUUUCUUAGUUUUUAACUAAGAAAAACUAAGAACCGUCUCUUAAAUAAGAGAUAUAGGAGCCGGUUCUUAGCCAAAAAAUGUAAAAAAAAUAAAACUUUGUGUCAAAUCAUGAGUUAAGAACCCCAAAUUAAGAACCCGGGUUAAUUAUGCUCUUAUAUAUUUGUCAAAAAAAAAAAAUUAUGACAUGAUUUUAAAGAACAUAUCAUAUAUUGUUUCCGACAUAAACUCAGUCUCUCACAUAUUAUUACAUUAAGGGCUUGCAUCAUAGCUUUGGUAAUAAAAAGUAGACACAUAGUACAUACUCUUAAUUAAGGAUCUGACUGGUUUAUCCGUUACCAUCUGCAAACGCAGCUUUUGCGGUCGAUAGCGGUUGACAACGUUUUGAAACAAUCAUAUAAACCGUUACAAAUCGCUUCAAACCGCUUUGAACCUCUUAAAAUCAAAAGAUGGUUCCAGCUAGCGUUUGCGGUUGCGAGCGGUUGCGGAUGGAUAAAUAAAUAUAAAUUGUUUUUCAAAAAUAUUUAAAAAUUUAAAAUUAAAAUUUUGAAAUGAAAGUAUUAUAAAUAAAAAUAUAUACAUGUUUUAUAUAUUAAUUUAAAUUCACAAACAGUAUAAUAAUUUGUUUUAUAAAAACUUUAAACUAACUAACUAUUCAUUAGAAUUUUUAAAAAUUAAUAUACAUACAUAUUCUUUUAAAGUUUGAUAUAAAUCUUCAAAAAAAUUAUAACUUUCAACUAAUUUAAAAAAUUAAAUAAAAAAAUAUAGUAAUAUUAUUAAUCAUAUUAUAUUGAUAAUUAUUAUAUUUUAUUACAAUAGUAUGUUUUUAUAUUUUUAUAAUGUUAUCCUUUAUAUAUUAAAAGAUAAGCAUUGUAAUGAAUGCAUUCACACUAUAGUAGACAUGUGGCAGCCUCUCAAUGAUUUGAUAAUAAGUAUGUUAAUGCGUUCACACUAUAUUCAUAAAUGUGUUCACACUAUGUACUUUGCAUUUUUUUAAUAUAAAAUUCACAUACAUGGUUCCAAUAAAACUCUGGAUUUUUCGGUUCGAAUAAAAAUAGAUAACGAAUCAAAAGCCAAACUAUAUAUAUAUUAUUUUUUAUUGUUUAUGGAUAAAGUUGAGAAAAAUAUUCUUAAAUUUUGAUUCUAUUCGUUAUCCGUUUUGAUUUGAACCAAAAAAUCUGGAUAUCCGUAACUGUACGAAACAAAUCAAAUACAAAAAUAAAAUAUCCCAAAAAGAAGCAAAUCACAAAUACCAAUAUUUUUAGGAACAUAUAUCUAAUUUGAUAUGUUAUAUGCAUAUAUAUACAUAUAUGUAAAGAAUUAUAUAUAUAUAUAUACGUUAUAUAUUAUACUUUAUAUCAGUUUUACAAUAUUUUUAUGAAUUAAAUUUAUUAUAUUAGGUACUUAAAUUUAAAAUUUUAAAUAAUGUUUUAUUUUUGUAAUAAAAUGUUAUUAUUUAAAUUUUCAAUUAUUUUUAAAAUUUUAUUUUAUUUACGGAUCAAAUCGGAUAUUCUUUAAAAUUCUAAAAUAUUUCAUAUAUCUGAGUCACCGAAUAUCUUGGUUGCUAAAGAUCGAAUUGACACGAAUGCUUCCAAAUACCCAGAUAUUCGAUUUGUGUCCACUCCUAUUUACGGAUACUGUUUUAUUUUCUUUAUAUGAAAAAAUGACUAAUGUCAAGGCCUUUUUAUUUUAAAUUAAUUUUAAUUUUAUCUUUCAUGUAUUAUUUUGACAAAAAUAUCAUUUAAUAUUAAUUAACAAUAUCUUUAUAUAUUUGUCAACUAUUUUUAUAUACUUUUUACAUACACAUACAUGUGCACUUUGAUGUGAGCACCUUGUAACUAAGUAUUCACCACAACUGAAGUAUCUAAUUUUUUUGAAAGUUAAAAUAUUUUUCUUAAUGCUUCUUUCACUACCGAGCAAAUUGUAGUGAAAUGAUUUGUCUUAAAAAAUUUCUUUUUCUUAAACUAUUAUCGGUUUAGAAACUCUAAUAUGAAAUUGGUUCGAUACGACAACUAUCUAAAAUUCAUAACAUGAAAAUAAACAAAUAAUAUUAAUUUUUGGUUUUUACCGGAAAAAACCAAAAAAUCAAACAUUUUAGCCGAAUAAACUAAAAUGAAUAUUAAUUUAAAAUAAUAGUAAUAUUUUAGAAGAUUAAAAGCCAAAAAAAAAACUUAAAACCGAACCAAUAUCCAGAUUAAACAGAUUUAAUGUCUUUAUAUAAAAAAUAACGAAACUAAUAAUCACAUCCCGCGCAAAGCGCAUGUUAUUACCUAGUAAUAUAUUAAUAUUGGUAAUUUAUUAUUAAACCGGUGCAAUAUCUUAUAAUCAACCAGUCACAAAUAUACCGCAAACACAACAAUUUUCAAACGUUGUACCAGUCAUACAAAACGCUUAAUAACACUUGAAAAUGCAACCACCCGCAUCCGCAAUCGCAACCGCUGCAUUUGAACCAAUCAGAGCCUAAGUUAUAAGGUUUCAGGACUCACUCUUCUAAUGGCUUCACUUCCACAUCAUGUGAAGGCAUCAAGAAGAAUGCUAUUUUUUUUCUCUUGGUGUACCAAUAAUCCCCACCACUCUAGGUUCUACAUUCCAAUACUUAUCAUUCAUGAUUCAUCCAUACCUAGUAGAAUUGAUAUCAAUACUAUUAAAACAGAAGGCCCUUUUUUUAGGUGCCCUUCUGUUUCAACAAUACUUACAGAUACAAGCCACUGAAGUAUUUAAAACCUAUGGUUUUUAUUUAAUUCUGUAUUUUCCAAUUUUACUUUUAAUUAACCAUAUUCGUUUUUGGUUUAGAUCUUCAUGGGUUGGGUGCGAUUCUGAUGGUAUGGAAAAAAGGGCUUCACUUUUUGUGGUUUUCGAAUGGUUGUGACUCGAGAUUUCGAGCUCCAGUAUAUAGAAACAAAGGAGGUUCGGAAGAUCUGUGAGAUCAGGGGCGGAUCUACUUAAGGUAAGUAUGGGGCAGUUGUCCCCCAUGAAAUUUAAAACUUUCCUUUAAAUGAUGAGUAUAUAUUUUAGUUGCCCCCAUUGAAAAAAUAAUUUCUGCCCCCGUAACAAAAUCUGUUUUCAAUGCUCAGUUCAAAAUCUCCAUUAUUUCCAUCUUUUACGAGGCCAUUUAUGAUAUUUCUAUUAGAAUUAUUAUGUUUCCAUAUUUGAUUUACGAACAUUAAACCAUUGUUUCCGUUUUAUAUAAUAAAUAAAAUCAAUUUGUGUUUGUUUUUUUUUUUUGUUUUUUGAACUUAAGAAAAUCAACUUGUUGCUUAAAAAUAAGUAGUUUUAUAACAUCAAAUAAAUAUCUAUUUAUUUAAUAAGUUAUAAUAAUCAGUUUUCUUUACUUUAUCAUAAUAUAUGCAAUGACAAUAAAAAUAUUAUUUUCAUUUUAGUUUUUCAUAUAUAAUUAUUAGUCCAUGAUUGAGAAAGAAAACACUAUUUAGGAAAAAAAUUAUAUGAUCUGAAUAUAUAUACUUGUAUUUUUCAUAUCAUGAAAAACGUGACUUUUUAUAUUUAUAAUUUCUGAUAUUUUUUAUUUUGUAAUUCAAUUAUAUAAGAACAGUUUUAGUUUUCCAUACAAUGGAUCUUGUAUAAUACACUUAUAAGUUGAUAGAAAAUAUAUUUAUAAAAUAUUUAAUACAAAUUUUGUUAAUGAUUAUUAACUGUUUGUCCCCGGUAAACUUUUCGGCUAGAUCCGCCACCGCGUGGGAUUGAUAUGGAUUGUGGUAUCACUACUGAAGGUUUUGUCAAGAUUCAUGGAAUCUCCGAUGUUAUUCGAUUCGAUUGAUCUUUUCAAAUUGCUCUAGUUAUUCACUCUCAUGAUUGAAGUGGGGAAAGAAUCUCUAAAGAGGGAAGAAAAUCUAUUAGAAGUAAUGGCUUCCGGGAUCACAUCAAAACAAAGGUUUCUCUAAUCUGUUUCUUUCUGAUGCAGAACAAGAGAAACAAAAUCAAAGGUAUAGUAGGCUCGACCUAGGCUACACAGUGUAUGGUUUUUUGGAAUGUACAGGUCAUCUCUUUAUUGUUGCAGUGCAGAAGGGUAAUGGCAUAUGUUGGGUCUGUUAAUGUAUUGUGGUUGUCUUUUGGUUUUUGCACGUUAUGUUCUUUGGGACUGUCAUGGAUCUGAACAUACAGAGAUAUAGAGUUUAUGUCUCUGGUUUACGUGGGCUAAGGUGGGGAGAAAGAAUAAAGAAAUCCUCACUGGAGUUUGGUUUCCUGAGACAAUAACUAUUCAUGUUUGGAUUUUAUAUGCAUGAGUUUUAUGCCAACUGACACAAUUUGGUCAAUCGAAGUGGCUGGUGAUUUGGAGAAGAGUGAUGGAGGGGCUAAGAUUCAGUCCCAUGAAGGAUGGUUUAUGAUAUUGGUUGAAUUUGUGGUACAUCAUUGGUGUUUUCUAGGUGCAGAUUAUUUUGGAAAGAGUCAAAAAGACACUUUCGUUUCCAAAAUUAAACAUGUAUUGUCUAAUAAUUGUGUUAACUUUGUUGUGUAAGUCCAUAUAUCGUUUGGUAAAAAAACAAUAUCUGGGUAUUUGUUUCUUUUGUCAAAAAUAAGUAUUUAUUUAUUUUAUUUAGAAUGGUCACUGUAUUUAUAUAAUUUUUAAACUGCAUCAUUGAAAUAAUGUGUUUUAAAUUGUAUUAAUAUUGUUGUUUCCAACAUAUAAAUACAUGUAGCUAUAUAAUGGCUUCUUAUUUAGAUUAUUUAUUUUUUAACAAUUUUGUAUGUAAUUACAUUUUAAAUUGUACUGAUAUUGUUGUUAAAUUUAUUCUUUUUAAAUAAGAUAGAUUGAUAGAAGACCUGUGUAAGUGUGAUAAAAGAGAUGAUAAAUUACUAAGAAGUGAAAUUAUAUUUAUAUUUACGAUGAAACUAAUAUUUACAAUGAAAAUGUUUAAAUAAAUUGUUUCAUAAAUAUAGAACACAAUUCUCAUUCCAUAUAAAUAUAUAUAGUUGGAUUAACAUAGACGUAAAAGAUCAAACUAGGACUGGGUAAAAAAUCUGAAUUCAAGGAAUCGAACCGAAUCUAAUCCGAAAUAUAAUAUUGAAUCCAAACCAAAAUUGGUUAAAUAUUCAAAUGGGUUCAAAAUUUUAGUAUAUAGAGAACCAAAACCAAAUCCGACUCAAACCUAAGUAUUUUGGGUAUCCAAGUUUAUCCGAAAUAGAUUUAUAUACUUAAAUAUAUUAAUUAUUUUAUAUUUAAUAUAUUAAAUAUCUAAAAUAUAUAAGAUUUUUUUUUCUAACGGCUUAUAAGAUAUUUUGAAGUUAUCCGAAUAUUUGAAAAUAUUUAAAAUAGUUAAAAGUAAAUGUCUAAAAUAGCUAAACAAUUUUCAAAACGCUAAACAAUUUUCAAAACACUAAAAAUAUUUAAAAUAUUUAUUGAUUCUCUAUCCAAAUAUUCAAUACAAAUCAAUUUAUAUGUUAAAUUUAGGUAUUUUAGCAAAUAUUUUUCAAAUUUAAAUGUAAUAUAUUGUUUUUAUUUUUAAAUUUUGAGAAAUUUAAAGAUAUAUAAAUUUAAAUUUUAAAAAAUAAUUUAAACGGGUUAUCGGAACACGAACUGAACCUGCAGUAAAGAUCUGAAGCGAAUCUGAACCAAAAUUUAGAAAUAUCUGAAUCGAGCUAAAAUUUGUAAUUUCAAAAACCCAAAACCUAAGUAGACCUGAAACGAAUCCAAAUUGGUACACGAACGCUCACCGUAGAUCACACAUUGAAAUCUAAAUGUUUUGUCUCUCAUUAAAUCGAAGUAAAAUAUAAUUAAAUUAAUAAUUUAAUUGAAAUUAUAUCAUGCGCUUUCAAAGCGCGGAUCAAUAUCUAGUAGUCAUUAUAAUUAGAUACUGCAUGUGUAUAUCUUAGAAAAAUGAGAAGUAAUAUCUAGAAUUUCACCUCCAUUGUAAUCCUCCAACUUUGUCUUGAGCCAAUAGACCGUGGGCAUGGUGGAUAACGAUUUAUCCUUAAGAAAACUCAUUUGAUCUUUAAAGUAAUCAUGGAAUGAGUUCUAAAAGCCUGAAUGCUAGCUUUUCAGUGUGUCUUACGUACUCGUCACAUGCCUCCCUAAAACUAAAUAAGAAAAAAGAGAUUAACUUGCAUAGUUGAAAAUAAAUUCUUUUACCGAAUUGCUUGUAUGCUAUGUCCUACAUGUAAGUUGUAACUUGUAAUAUUAAUGCAGCCUUGGAAGAUAGCGUUCACGUGCAUCCAGUAGAGUUGUGUACUUGUGUAAAGUGAUAAGAUUCUGAUCAUAUUGGUUAACUUUAGUUUUUUUUUUUUUUGUAACAAACACUUAUAUUAAACACACUAACCAAAGUUAGGUGGAGUUAUAAUGGCAAGUUCAACAGCCAAGCAUUGUUUAGCUAGAUUAUCAGCAUACCUGUUACUCUCACGAGAAAUCCUGGACCAAGAAAAUCACUCAAACGAGGAAACAGCAGAGAUGAUAUCUGUAAUUACUCCAAACACUUCAGUAAAAGAAGAGCCCAAAUUGAUUGCUUUAACUAGUUGCGCCAAGUCAGAUUCGCAUCUGGUAUUGGGAGGCCAAGAUUCCUGCACUUAAAAAUUGCCUCACGAAGCGCCAAAGCUUCAGCCGCAAGAGGGGAUGUCACAUGUCGAUAAAGAGCAGAGAAAAAGGAUAUUCUGUUUUGGUUUUCAAUUGUCCAACCAAGCCCCACCAUAUGGUGAUUCUCAUUCCACAAAAUAUCGAUUUUAACAAGGACACGGUUAAAACCGAUAUGUUUGGAAUGAGAGUAAAUGGAGACUGAUGAUUGCAUACUAUGCUAUAGAUGCUUAUUCUAUUUAUAGUUUUCAUAGAAUAAGCAGAGAAAAAAAUUCAGGAAUAAUUAAGAAGAAAGAUAAAGUGAUUCGGCUAUAGAAAAUUGGUAAUGUAUAUAUAUUUUGUGAGACUGAUGAUUGCAUAUUAUGUUUUUUUUUGGACCACAGCUUCUUUUCAUUAACUUCAACUUGCUUGAUUACAAAUGCUAGAGGAAAUUAUCCAUCCUCUAUGAUUGAAAACAUAAACUACAACAACAUAAAAUAAAAAGGUUAGGCCUUCAAAAGAAGAUGACAGCGAAAUCAAGACGGUGUUUGAAUGAGUCGUAGCCUUUACGACAUGCUUGGACAGAAGAAAGAUAGUCACUUUGAAUUGUGACGUUGACGUUGAUUAAUAUAAAUUCAUUAAUCAAGAUAUUUAAAAUAUUUUUCAAAUAUUCACUCUGCAUCACUUUUAAGAGGUUGGAGAAGUAAAACAUGAGUCAUGUUCAUUGACAUUAUUAGGAAAAGCAGCAACCAUGGUGGUCUCGGGUUUUUAGUUUGGCAAUUCCUUCCUGCGUCCGAUGUUGUUCAAUUGGUUCUUGAAGACAUCCCAAGCAACGACAUCAACUGCUUCAAGGCGAAGCCUCUUCUACCCUAAGCCCCUGCUUUCAAGGAGUAUUCACUUCUUCCGUUCUUCAAUUCCUUCCUCCUAAGCUCCGGUCCUUGUUUUUGUGUUUCCUGAGGCCAACGCUGUUCCCAUUGUGUCGCGUAGCCGGAUAGGGGGCCAUUUCGACCGUCUGCGCUUGACCGAAACCAAUGCUUCAUCUUCAUAUGGCGUUGAAAUCGGGUCUACAUGAUAGCAAAUGGGAGCCAACCGUCAUGCCUGCUUGGAGCCACUUCGGUGAGACCUGACUCUACUUCUCUUAUGGCUUUAUUCUUGUUGUCUCUGGUUGCUCCAGUCUUCGAGAAGUGCUUGGAGGGGGAGAUCAAUUGUUAGUCUUUUGUUCUAGUUUGGUAUUAUGUUCAAAGCCUCCAUUGUUUGGUUAAGAUUUGAUCAUAAUUUCUUUGUGGUUUAGCGGUUUUUUUUAAACUUUUUUGCACUUCUAAACUUUCAGAAUAGCUGAAAAGGAGAUUGUGGUUCCAUCAAAAUGUAACCAAACUUUCAUUCUUGCACUGAUAUUUACAAUCUUAGCAAAAAAAAGAAGGAAUAAUGGUUAUAAAAACAGAAAAAAUAAUAGUAGUGUGUUGACUCUAUCUUUGUUUUCUUGAUUUUUAAUGAUGGAUAUGACGAUGAAGGUUUUGAUUUUUGAUUAUAGUACUGUAAAAACAUUAUAAUGAUAAGCUAUAGAUUUUUAAAAGGUCUAAUUAAUGGCCUUUUUAUACAAAUGUAGUAGAAUAAAAGGCCAUAUUCUUCGAUAAUGCGUACUAACUACUAUUAUUUUUUCUGUUUAUACAUGGCAUCAAUUACAAUGUUCAUUAAGAAGUCCAAUUAUAAUACGUAUAAAUUUAGGUUUAUCAUGUAUAAAUCUAGUGAUGCCAUGUAUAAAUCCAGGCUGCAUUAUGUAUAGAUUCGGCUGGAGAUUCUUAAAUCAUUUUACGUUGUUUGACACAUAACUUCCGUCAUCCCUAAUUAGGUAGUCUUUCUAGCAAGGCGGGUCUUGUACGUAUCGAAUGGUUUAACCUUCCCUUCUUGUGAUGGGAGGAAGAACAAUGGUAUUAAGAAUGUAUCUUUGUGCUCUAUGUUCUGUAAAUUCCUGGGUAAUUAAGUGCUUCUUUAUUUAUUAUAUAUUUCAACUACAUAUUGAUAUAGAAGUAAACACAUGAGUCAUGUUCAUUGACAUUAUUAGGAAAUGUUGUGCUAAUAAACAUAGUAAGAUUACUUAAGCGGCCUUGAAGCGAUCAAUCUGGAUGCUCUCAGUUUGGAGCUUCUUGUAAUCACUUCUGUUUCUUGCAGCAAAGAACUUGCCCCAAUUGUACUUUUUGUAACAAGGCGGGUUGUCUUCGCUUAUAAGCUCCUUCAAUGGCUCAAUGUUGGUAUCGUGGGAUGGGAAAAGGAAGAAUGGCAUUGAGAAUCUCUCUUUGCUUGAAUUCACUACCACUCUAUGUUCUGCACUCCAAUACUUGUCAUUUGUCCAUACCUACUCCACACAACAAAUAUUAUAUGACCAAGUUACAUUAGACCCCAAAAUAUUUCGAGUUAAUAUAUAUACACAUAGACCCCUAAAUUGUUAAUUUUUUUUUAUUAAAUUGAUUUAAGUCCUCUAAAAUGUCAGGGUCAGCCCAAUAUAACCAGAUAACAUUCGAAGUUGACGUCUUUUACCUGCAUGCAGUUGCCAAUGUUAAUGAUGAAAGCAUCAGGGUUGGGUUUCACAGAGAACCAUUGUCCAUCUGAUCUACGGCUCACUUGUAACCCACCCACACUAUCUUGUGCCAAGACGGUUAUAACUCCUGCGUCUGCGUGGCGUCCAACGCCUAAUGCUAGC
rnacentral:lncRNA from 1 species